AGAGUUUGAUCCUGGCUCAGAUUGAACGCUGGCGGCAUGCUUUACACAUGCAAGUCGAACGGCAGCACGGGUGCUUGCACCUGGUGGCGAGUGGUGAACGGGUGAGUAACAUAUCGGAACGUAUCCGGAAGUGGGGGAUAGCUCGGCGAAAGCCGGAUUAAUACCGCAUAUGCCCUGAGGGGGAAAGGGGGGGAUCCGCAAGGACCUCUCGCUUUCGGAGCGGCCGAUAUCAGAUUAGCUAGUUGGUGGGGUAAAGGCCUACCAAGGCGACGAUCUGUAGCGGGUCUGAGAGGAUGAUCCGCCACACUGGGACUGAGACACGGCCCAGACUCCUACGGGAGGCAGCAGUGGGGAAUUUUGGACAAUGGGCGCAAGCCUGAUCCAGCCAUGCCGCGUGAGUGAAGAAGGCCUUCGGGUUGUAAAGCUCUUUCAGAUGGGAAGAAACGGACACGGUUAAUAACUGUGUCUAAUGACGGUACCGUCAG
rnacentral:rRNA from 1 species